UGAGGAAUAUUGCACAAUGGGCGCAAGCCUGAUGCAGCGACGCCGCGUGUGGGAUGAAGGGGCUACGCCUCGUAAACCACUGUAGCCCGGGACGAAAAACGCCUUAGAGGCGUUAGACGGUACCGGGAAAGUAAGGGUCGGCUAACUACGUGCCAGCAGCCGCGGUAAUACGUAGGACCCAAGCGUUGUCCGGAUUUACUGGGUGUAAAGAGUGCGUAGGCGGUUUUCUAAGUUCGGUGUGAAAUCUCCCGGCUUAACUGGGAGGGGUCGCCGAAGACUGGGAAGCUGGAGUGUGGGAAAGGCAGGCGGAAUUCCUGGUGUAGCGGUGAAAUGCGUAGAUAGCAGGAGGAACACCGGCGGUGAAGACGGCUUGCUAGACCAUAACUGACGCUGAUGCACGAAAGCGUGGG
rnacentral:rRNA from 1 species